UUAAAUCCCUGGCAGCUUAUCCAAUUCAGACCAAUUAUUCUAUGUGCAAGGACAGCUUGACUACAAUAAAUUUAUGUUCUCUGUCCUUCAGAAUUCAUCAUGGGAGCUGAAUACCAAGAUAAAAAAAAUCUAAAUAUUAAUCUCAGUUCUAUGACUUUGUAACCUUGGAGAUGUAAUUUAAUUUCUUCAUAUUUGUUUCUUCUCUGCAAAGUUUUAAAUACCUUUCCAUGCCUCUCAUGAGAAGAUUAAUAUGUGGAUAAUUCUUGAAAACAGGCAGAAAAGAAAAGGAAAACAAAACUCUGAUUAAGAAAGUGCUGUCAAGGUCAUUUUCCUUUCCAUAUGAGGAGCCUCUUCUGGAAAGAAUGACGGGACGGACUGGCUCUGCUUUGAACAUAACGUGCAGCAAUUCUCAACACAGCCUCAGCAUUCAUGUGCUCAAGUGACAGAUACCUGCAGACAUGUCAUGGAAGGAACCUUCCUCAACAGCUGUGUCACAAGAACACCAAAGGAAUCACUGCAUAAUUCACAAAAAAAAAAUUAGCUGACUUUUUUGGGCAAGCAGCCUUUAUGGCUACUAUUAUUUGACACAUUGCCCUUUCGUGGCUGAUACCUUACCAGAAGAUUAGAAACCAGAAGAAGCCUUUCAUACCACUGCUGGGGAAAUCUGAUCCCACAGGUCACACACUGCUCCAUCUUCUCCAAAAGCUAGUAAACCUAUGCCCUUGAUAAGGGCCAUCACUGUGAUCACCCAGAUUUCUUCAGUGAAGACCUUGCCAUACUACCAUCAAUGGGUUCCAUUUGACUCAGAUACACACUGGUCUCCAAGGGUAUAAUCCUCAUGAUGUCCAGCCUGAACCUCUGCAGAGCCUUCCUGCCCUCCAGCAGACAAUAUCCCCACCCAACCUGAUGUUGUCUGUGAAUUUACUGAGGGUACAUUCAACCCCCUCAUCCACAACAGUUAUCAUUUAUUAAAUUAGUAAUACAUAUAAACAACAAUUACUUAUGCACACAAUAUAAUUAAGUAUUUUUAUCCUGGAAAGAAUUACAAAGCACCUUUUCUUUAAAAGCUGGAAACACAGUUUAAGUACCUAAGCAGAGGUGGGAAGUGAGUACCUGUUCUGUAAGGGAAAACCACAGGGCCAAAAUGAAGCAGCAGCAGAUUCAGUGCUAUGUGUUGUUCUGCUUUUCUGAGGAAAGCAACUCAAUUUGAGCAUUACAUUCUGCUCCCAUUCUCCUGCUUUUGCUCCUCUCUCCUCAUAAUACCUCGAAUUCCACGUAGGUAAAGAUCUCCCUUACAGAGAGGUUUCUGUCUGAACAUUUCCUUCUACAAAUGCAGGCUUUGCUGGUUUAGAUACCUCUGUGCAGCUCAAGUAAGAUUAUACCAGACAGCAGUGCACUUCAGGCUUUAGUGAGAAAGCUGCUCAUUUAAAAUCUUGCACAAAUCCAAACAUUCAGAACAUAGCUGCUACUGUGAGUUUUUGAGAAAGCUGACUGACAUGACAAAACAGCCAAGCCAUGUCAUAUUGCUGCACUUAAUCAUUAAUUAGUCUAAUGAACACUGCAAUCCCACCAGAUAGGAUGAAGUUGUGACUCAAAGCAGCAGAUGUGAUUCUGGUCUGAAACCUCUGGGGAGUAUCUGUGACAGUGACUGCAGCAGUCAGCCUGAAGAGCAGUGCCACAGAGGAAGACAUUUCUGCCGUGGAGGAAGAGAUUAGUCCUUGAAUGGCAGUUAAUUUGUUCCAGACAGAGAAUUUUGCUGUCAGGAAAGGAAAAUGUCUUUUAUGAAACCAGAAUAAAUCCCCAAAUGGUUUCUCUACAGAGAACAUCUAGUUUAGGGAGGUGUCAUAAAUACUGGUUGCUUCUAAGUUCUUCAUAACUUUAUUUAGAGAGAACAAGAAGCAAUAAGCCAAUGCACAGAACCUAAGACACACAAAAAUAAACAUUUUAGAAGGUGUAUGGCAAAUAUACUUCAAUGCUCCUGUACAUAAUGGUUUACAGUGCAGCAAGCAUGGAAUUUCUGCAAGAUUAUGUUGUUAGAAAAACCCAAAAGUUGAUUUAUUGAAAAGAUCAACUUUAUACUGGAAGAGAAGACAAAAGACAGAGUGUGGAGGUGCCCAGGCCAGUGACAGUCAUAGCUCUAGCCACCCUGCAUGACCCUGCAUAUACCACUCAGAACACUAAGAGACUCCCCUGAGUCAUCAUCAAGAGCUGUACAGAAGGUGAACUACAAUUUUUUUCCAAGGUAAUAGUCCAGAUGAGUCUCUUGUCUGAGUGAGAAAAACUCAAAAGUAUGACAUCAUAUCUUUGUGUGAAUACUAUUGUAAUAUACACACUACAGGAAGCUAAAAUGUGUCACUUAAGGGCAGUAAUUUGCAAGUCUGAAUUAGAAAAUGUGCUUAAAGUUUUUUGCAAGCAUAUAGUGCAGGGUUUUAAAGUCAUUGUAAGAAGGACUGGAGGCAAAAUAACAUGUUCUUUGCAGGAAUCUACUGGUGUCAUUUGUCCCUCAGCUGAGUAAGUCUCAGAAGUAACAUUCCCUCAGAAAAAAAAAAAAUACAGAAAACAGAACAAGCACAGCUUUUAGAGCAACCUGUAGAAGAAAAAAAAAGUUUUGCAAUAUCAUCUUUUUUCUUUACAAAACCAUUUGUUUCAGCAUAUCCUAACAAAACAUAGCAGAAAUGAGGGCUCAAGUGUUGUCACAGAUAACCAAGAGCUGCUUGUUUAGUUUUCAAAAGGCAAAACCUAGACAGGGCUCUUAGAUUUUGCUGAGAGGAUGGGCAAUUGAGCCAAACUUCUAACCAUGGAAUUAAUUUCUUUUUCCAACAGUGGCUUUACAGGACAUUUCAAAGCACUGUCCAUCCCAUCUGAUGUGUUUUUAUUCUUCUUCUUUCUGUACUUCCUUUUUUUAAUUUCCCAAUCUAGCAUUGGCUAGUCUUCCUCCAACACCAGCUGUCUGCAGUAGCAUAUUACACGAUUAAGGGAAUUAAGAUUUCCAAAACUGGACAGAAGUCCACAGUCUCAAACUGCUUACCCAUAUUUAUUGCCAGGUUAAUGUGCAUUUCUGCACUGAAGAGUUUGCAGAGAUGGUGGCAUCUCUUACACUGAUGCAAGGAAAAGCCACUGGAGCUGCUCAAGCAUAACUGAAGACACAGUAGGGCAGCAGAAUCCUCUUCAGAGAUGCUUAAAGAGGAGAUGACCAUUCCAGUUUGCAGGAGAGAAGGGAUUUAGCAAUAUGGGCAUGUGCUUAAAUGAUUUUCUAGCUGGUUUAAGCUAACAAAUAUGAUAAAUCAAUAUAUAGCUAGACAAAUAUCUGUGGAGA